GACGAACGCUGGCGGCGUGCUUAACACAUGCAAGUCGAACGGGCUAAUCUGAGAUCUUGCUCUUAGAGAAUCUAGUGGCAAACGGGUGAGUAACACGUAGACAACCUCCCAACAGGAUUGGUACAACAUUCCGAAAGGACUGCUAAGACCGAAUGAAGCGGCGGAUAGACAUCCCUCCUCCUUGAAAGAUGGCCUCUUAAUAUGCUAUCACCUGUCGAUGGGUCUGCGUCUGAUUAGUUAGUUGGUGAGGUGACGCCUCAACAAGGCGACGAGCAGUAGCCGGUCAGAAAGGAUAAGAGCACACGUUGGGCCGGAGACACGGCCCGCACUAUUACGAGAGGCAGACGUGGGGAAUCCUCCGCGAUGGGAGCAAGCGUGAAGGAGGAACACCGCGUGAGAGACGGAGGUAUUCAGAUCGUAUGGCUCUGUUGACGGGGAGGAACGUACGAAGCUUGCAUAAGCCUUGGUAAUGACGGUACCUGUCGAGGAAGCCACGGCUAACUACGUG
rnacentral:rRNA from 1 species